GCUAAUAUGUAAUUAUAAAAACCUAUAACAUAAACCUGAGAGGGACUUAACUGUACAGCUAUUAAACUUGACCCCAACCUAACUCAACCACUUUAAUGGCUACGUGCAACCCUAUCUUCUUUUCUUCUCGUAUAAGUUCUCCCCGAUUAAGACCUUCCUUGUCCUCAAGGAAGGAAUGUGGGAAAACAAAUCUUUAGAGCUUGAUAGCCUUCCCAAGUUGCGAGAUCUGAUGAUAACUUGUCCCAUCGAAUCUUUAGAGCAAUUGCCUUGUUCCCCUUUUGAAUCAUAGGUCUAUCCAAAAUUUUGUGUGCUGAGGGUAGUAAGGACUUGGUAGUUCUAGCACUGGUGGAUGAGAGAUGGUAUCUAGUAACUCGUAACAUCGCUUGAGCUGAGACACGUGAAAGGUAGGGUGCAACAAUAACUUUGGAUGAAGUGAGAGCUUGUAUGCUACGUGCUCUACCUUUUGCAACACUUGGUAAGGCCCACAAUACUUUGCUGAUAGCUUGGUAAAGUGUGACCCAAACAUGGUUAUUUGCAUGUAAGACUGAAUUUUUAAUUAUACCCAAUCCCGUUAUUGAAAUUUCCUGUCUGAUCUAUGUUUGUUAGCUUGCUCAGUCAUCCUCUGCUGAGUCCUUUGUAAAUGGUACUUCAACAAUUGUAACUCAAAUUCCCUUGUGAGCAGGCUCCUAUCAAAUUCCACUGAGUCAGAAUCACCAGCCAUAUAUAGAAGAUGCAAAGGUGGAGGUUGCCCAUAUAGUGUCUCACAGGGAAUACAUUAUAUUGAAGAGUGAAAUGUGGUGUUAUACUACCAUUGUGUUCAGGUCGAGGCUUUUCUUUUAAGAUCUGGGCAUUCAACUUGUAUAUGAUCAUAUUUUUCACUUUCAUAGCAUUUCCCCAUCGUUCUUUUCUUGUUCGUUGUAUUGUCUUGAUGUUCUUCUGGAGGACAUUCUCUACUUUUUGGUAUUCUCUGUAUCUUUUUGGAAACUAUAGCUAUUUCUUAUUCAAGUUACUCAGCUUCAUUUUUAUUUUCAUCUUCAGAUCCUUCAAUCGAGGUUUUAAAAGUAACAAUUUUCUUCUUUUCUUUCUGUCCUCGUUUUUUGAGAUGUGUUUUCUCAAAGGCAAUAAGAUCUCCUCGUAGUUCAUCAUAUGAUAGUUUGUCUAGAUCUUGAGAUUCAAGAGCUACUACUUUUAUUUGCCAAGUAGUAGGUAGACUUCUUAGAAUUUUUCGAACUUGCUCACCACUUGAAUAUGGUCUUUCAAAGGCCUUUAGAUCUCCAAUAAUUUUGCUGAAUCUAGCAAAUAUUUCCU
rnacentral:lncRNA from 1 species